rnacentral:rRNA from 1 species
ACUCCUACGGGAGGCAGCAGUGGGGAAUAUUGCACAAUGGGCGCAAGCCUGAUGCAGCCAUGCCGCGUGUAUGAAGAAGGCCUUCGGGUUGUAAAGUACUUUCAGCAGUGAGGAAGGUGGGUAUGUUAAUAGCAUAUUCAUUUGACGUUAGCUGCAGAAGAAGCACCGGCUAACUCCGUGCCAGCAGCCGCGGUAAUACGGAGGGUGCGAGCGUUAAUCGGAAUUACUGGGCGUAAAGCGCAUGCAGGUGGUUUGUUAAGUCAGAUGUGAAAGCCCGGGGCUCAACCUCGGAAUUGCAUUUGAAACUGGCAAACUAGAGUACUGUAGAGGGGGGUAGAAUUUCAGGUGUAGCGGUGAAAUGCGUAGAGAUCUGAAGGAAUACCGGUGGCGAAGGCGGCCCCCUGGACAGAUACUCCGANACUCAGAUGCGAAAGCGUGGGGAGCAAACAGGAUUAGAUACCCUGGUAGCUCUGC